rnacentral:rRNA from 1 species
UACAGAGGUCUCAAGCGUUGUUCGGAUUCAUUGGGCGUAAAGGGCGCGUAGGCUGCGGGGCAAGUCGGGUGUGAAAUCUCAGAGCUCAACUCUGAAACUGCACUCGAUACUGCUUUGCUUGAGGACUGGAGAGGAGAGUGGAAUUCCUGGUGUAGCGGUGAAAUGCGCAGAUAUCAGGAAGAACACCCGUGGCGAAGGCGGCUCUCUGGGACGGUACUGACGCUGAGACGCGAAAGCGUGGGGAGCGAACAGG